CCAGUUCCAGCUUCAGUGACUCAGUAGAUCCUCAAAUACUUCCCAUGGGAAAUACAACUCCACGGUAUCAGAAAAUACAGUUAGCCAAUGUUUCCUGAUGAGUUUUGUGCACAUUUUUCUUGAUUGUAUCUUCAUUCCCUUUCCACCCCAGAACAGUGAACAAUUAUUUUCCCCUCUCUGUGCUUACACCCUUCACAUACUUGCAGACACUUCUCAUAGCCCACUUGAGUCACUGUUUGGCACGGCCUGAUGUCUUUGGUUUUUAUUGCCUCUGCUCAUAAACCGCACCCCCUGUGCCUUAAUAGCCUGAAGUUCGCCUUCUCCAGGGAAAUGGGGAUGGGAGUGGCAGACUCUUAAGUGUGUUAUAUGAGGAGGCUCAGGGGUGGAUUUAGAGUGAAGCUAAUGAAACUUCAGCUUCCAUGUCCCCUACUCACUCCACCUCUUCUAAAACCUUGUUACCUAAUUUACACUUGUAAUUGUGUACUCUUUUUCUUAAAGAGGGCCUCCAAAAUUAUAUUAUUUUAGGCCUCCACAAAGCCUGGGUCCACCCCUUAGGAGGCUGUGCAUUUUGUGUGUGUACUUGGCUGCCUGGCUGCUGAAUGUGACCAGUCUUGAUCUCUCCCUCCCCAAGGACCCUGGGCCACAACGUCUAAUUUCCUCUUUUUGACAAAACAUGAGUUUCUCUGACUGGCCACAAACAUCAGAGCCCAGCAUCCCACUCACUUCCUUUCAUUGUAAUUUGGGCAUGUUAAUAUUUUUUUCUUCCCUUUCCUCUCUUAGAACAGAAGAAGUAAUUGCUAGUCAAUGUGACAUAAAUAUAAUUAGGUUCGGCUCAGAAGCUCAUGACUCAGCACAGACACGAAGAUUCCACACCUAAAAACAGUAUUUAGCUCUGGCAUGUUGGACUGUGACUAUUCCAAGAUGACCUCCGCAGGAAUAUAUAUGCACUUCACCAUUUAUGACACCACAAGGCCAACAGUGGGGACUAACCCAUAUUUGCUGAGGUCCUCAGUCACUGUUCCCUGUACUGGACAAAACCACGUUUACUAGGCUGUGCAUCAAGAGAAAAUAGUGGUGUUGGGGCACCUACACAUACUUCGUAAAUGGGAAUGCAAUUUAUUGUUUUGUGAGUUCACUGCAGGUUAGAGGUGAUUAAAUGACAAGCGUGAAUGCUGAGCCGGAGAGGAGGUUAUAUACCACACCACUUCUCUAAUGCCAAGGCCUGGGGCUAAGGGAUCCGGUGUUUUUUUUUGUUUGUUUGUUUUUUCUUCAUGUCAUCCAUACUGGCAUCUUCCCGGAAAGGUUUGUUUGCCCUCCCUGGCAGGAGUAUCUCUGUCCUCCCAGGAGCUAGAUUUCUGACCCACGCGCCAUUAGCUCCUUUCUGUUACUCAGUAGACAAAGGCUGGAGUGGGUUGUAAAUGUUUCGGCUAUCGCCGGUCUGAUGACCAUGCAUGCCCCUGGCCCUGUUCUUUGCUUCUGCAUGUCCUAGCAUGUGCCUCUCUCGUGUAACUCAUCACAUGGCUUACUUGUCUGUCAUGCUCAUUUGACUUUAAGUUGCUUGAUAUAGUAGCAGCUAUGUUUUAUUCAUUGUUGAUCCUCAGAGCCUAGCAGUGUUUUAACAUCUAUGAAUGAAUGAAUGAAUGAAUGAAUGAGAUUUGUAAUGCAAAACGGCUUAUGGAUACAAUUAGAAAUCCUGAAUGAAGAUGUGAAUAAAGAAGUGUGUCCAAACAGCCUUCUGUUGCUAAAGGAAACAGGACGCUUCUGGAUUCACAUAUGUAAGAGCAGCGAGAAGCUACAAAGGAAGCCCUGGGUCCACAGGCACACCCUAAGCCUUUCCAGGCAGAUGCACCCAGAGUUUCAUCAAACAGAUUCUCUGCCAAUCCAUUUCCUCUCACCUGUGGAAACAUUCCUGCUUUUAAAUGAGCAAAGCCCAGAAAACAGUGAUGAUCUCAUGAAAUAGUAUAUUAUCUUUAGUGCACAGAGAUCAGGAGACAAACAGAUUGCUCAAAAACCAGUGACAGAUUGGAAAUGUUAUGUCCUUUUCCAAGCUGGGUGGUCCCCUACUGAUUAGAGCCAUUUUGGAUGAUGUAUCUCCAAACUUCUGAGCUUUUGCUGCUCUAACUGCAAUGUUUACAUCAGUGCCUGACCUUAUACUCUCUCACUGAUGAAGACAAAGAUGGUCUUCACACGGGACAUUUUCACAUUUGUUUCCCAGCCCGGAAGGGAAGAGUAAUGCCACCAAAAUGCCCGUGCUUAGUGUUCAAAAUGACUACAUCACUGUAGGACACUUAGCUCCGGGAUUUAUUCUCAGCUGUAACCACGUUUAAGGGGCCACAUCACCUCAAAUGGUCGCACAAUCAAAUGACUCUAGUCUUCCUAACGUAGGUCCCGAGUUUUGGGAACACUUCAAUUCAGUGGGAAGGACCCUGGAAAAGCGUUUCGGGGCCUCGUUCUCGUCUUUCCCUUUCCGCCUUUUAAUGGAAUUGUUUGAGGACUUUUGCUAAUGCAGCCAUUUCCAGGAGAGGAAGCCGCCUUUCUUCCAGGCCCCAAGCAGCUGGAGUGAAUCAGAGGGGCAGCCACAUCUGCACAUCCUGUGGGGCAAUCGCUCACGCGCGGGUGACGGCGCCAGCAGGCCGGCUGGGGCCGGGGGCUCUUGGGGACCGCGGGGCGGGGGCGUAACGGGUGGGGCCUCUCGGGGGUGCCUGGGCCGCGCCAUCUCCACUUCCGAGCGCGCCCUCCCACCCUGAUGAGUAACGCGCCGUCUCUCCCGUUUACUACGGCGCCCGGUCGCCUAGCAACGGGGCGCGUUGCCGCGGCGACAGGCCGGGCGUGUUUGGCAUUGUUUGCGAGGCCCCGCCCCGCGGCCGCCAACCACCCAUGGCUUCCUGACCGGGUGGGGCGGGGGUACCUGGGCUGUUUCUUCCUCUGGGUCUUCCUCCGUCGGUUGAGAACGGUGUCCCGGGGGCCCUCCCAGAGAGCAGGGACUGCCAGGGCAGGCCAGGGACCCGGCGAGCCGCGGAGGGCGGGGCCGCAUGUGUCCCGGAGCUGGGCCGGGGCGCUAGGCCACCUGAGGCGCGGCCCCUCUGCCGCCUGGCGAGGCUGCGCGGGAGGGCGGAGAGACUGGGUAGUCGGAGGGAUUCCUUACACCCAGGCCGGUGGGCCAGGGCUCGGGAUGUGUCGGGCUGCUGGGAGUCCAAAGUCAGGCAUUUCCCUGCCUCUGCCCGGUAGAAGAAGAGUGCCUCUAAGCAGAAACGAAGGGGAAGUGCACCUGUGCUACCAGCAGACACCUUGCUAGACCCUUCAGACAUCUUCCUUAAUCCUCACAACCAGCCUGAAAGAGACGUGGCAUCCCCAUUCUACAAGUGAGGGUUCCGAUUCGGAGGGUUUGACUUGCUCAAGGCCACAAAGCUAGUAAAUGGUAAAGUCAACACUGGCAAUCUUUGAGGACUGUUCGCCUGACUCAUCACCAGGCUGCCACUCAGUAAAAGCCAAGGCACAGUCACCUUUAACAAAAUGUACAGAUUGCAGGCCAGAUUUAUGGGACCUCCUGCAGAUUGAGGCAAUGGAUUAAGUGUACUUUAUACUUCUCAGGUACAUAUUAGCAACCAGACGCUCCCAUAUUCCCUGUGUGUCUCUCCUGGAAAACCACUGAUAAAGAACAAUAAUAAAAUUUAUUCUAAGCCA